GCUGGACAGGUGAUGAAUCUUACUACAGCUAAUGGGUUUGUCCGUUUGAACUUAUAAGCGAUGCUACUUCACCUUGGAGACCUGAUGCCUUUC
rfam:Eucalyptus grandis cultivar BRASTZ1 unplaced genomic scaffold scaffold_5, whole genome shotgun sequence.